rnacentral:rRNA from 1 species
UAGUUAUGGUCUUGAAACUUAAAAAAUUUGGCGGUAUUUUAGUCUAUUCAGAGGAACUUGUUCUUUAAUCGAUAAUCCACGUUGGACCUUGCUUAAAUUUGUAAUCAGUUUAUAUACCGUCGUUAUCAGAAUAUUUUAAAAGAAAAAUAAUUUUCAUAAAUUUUUAAAUUAAUUUAUUUCAGAUCAAGGUGUAGUUUAUAUUUAAGUAGAAAUGAGUUACAAUAAAUUUAUUUAUUACGAAUAUAAUUAUGAAAAAAUUAUUGAAGGAGGAUUUGAUAGUAAAAUUAUAAAGAU